AGUGAGGAAGUGCUGGAGACCACUGAAGCACAUGCUAGAGAGACCUGACUGUGUUUAGGGGACCACAGAAGGCUCUCAAAGAGGUGAGUGUUGAGCUGAUAGCGGAAAGUCGGAAGCAGAGAGGAGCAGGGGAUGGUGGUACAACCUUUGAACUUAUCAUCUACCUCUUUUCCCGUAGUCUUUUUGGAACCAGUCAGUUGUCAUUUGUCUUUGGUGUGCUUGGCACCAUGUACUUUGUCAUUUGACUCUCCCAACUCUCCUUCAAGAUGAGUGUUGUGGCUUCUGGGUGACGAAACCGGCUCAGGGUGCUAAAUGCUGUGGGCUUUGGUCUCAUGUUGGAGGCUAGGACUUAAACCCCUUGGUCCUUCUGUCUCUGUCUUUUGCAGACAUGGUUUUUUGUGGCUUGACCUGGUGGUUUUAGCCACUGUCUCCACAUCAUGUCCUAGGAAGAUGUAAUGUGGGUUCCAACCUUUCACCUGUAAGUAGACUUUCGGUACCCAGCCUCUAAGUCGAGGGCUACUGCCUUUGUCAGGCCAGCCCUGGGAGUAAGUAAGUCUGACUCUUAGUGGUUUUAAUAUCACCUUUUCUGUUCAUCACCACAGUUUAUGGUACUCUUAGAAGGGGAAUUAUUUCUAAUGAGUAUAUAUAAAUACCCAACAGAAGGGGAAUACCAAUGGACUUGGUACAAAGAAAGCAGAUUUCACUCCUGCUGGCAAUGGUAUCUCUGGGCUUCGGAGAAGAGACUGGUAUGGGCUGGUAACUUUUAAUUACUUGGAGUUAAGUCUGAUUGCCAUGAGGUUGUCAGUGAGUCUGUGGACUCUAGGGCUCCGGGUAGGGAUAAUAUCUACCAGCCCUACCUCAACUUCAAUCUCCUUAUCUAUAAGGCAGGAUAAUACCACUAUUUUGUCUCAGCCUUGCUCUGUAAUGCCCUAAGGUAAUAUAUUAGACAUUGUUCUGUAAGCCUGUUCAAAUGAUGCUACAUUGGUUUAUCAGCCAUUGUGGGUCAAUAUUAAUAGCAUAACCCCUCUGGUCCCCAGACUUCAGCUGUGUCAGAAACACAUGGAAGACUUGUGAAGACAUAGGCUGCUGACUGCUCUAGAAUUUCUAACUCAAUGUCUGGGGUGGGGUCAGAUGAUUUGUGUUCAGUAUGGACACAAUUUAAAAUCUGAUCUUUGUGGUUAGCAUGCCAAGUAAUGGAUUUCAUUAUGGCUUUUUCAAAUGUGUGUGUCGUUAUUCUUUCUAAUUGCAUGUUCAUCAUCCUCUUCAUACCACACACGCCCCCCCCACCCCCCAAUGUCCUUUGCUUGAUUCCUUUCCUUCCCUAAACAUCCUCUUCCUCCCCAUCACACACAUUCCAUCCCCACCCCCAGACCCCAGGUCUCUUAGGGAAUCAGUUUAAACAAGCACCCAGGUGUUGGUGGUAUGCUGGUAAUCACUCUUGUAUUUUGUUUAUUGUUUUAUUUUGUAUAUUGUUUGCUUGUUUCCCUGUGUGCCCGGAGUGGCCCCAAAUUUGAGUGUUUUCUUGGUGAUGGGAUUACGAGUAUAGACCAUCACCACUGGCCAAGUGAGUCCACCUAGAGAAGUCCCACUGAGUGAUGUCACAUAAGGCAGCGCAGCCUGUACCUUAGCGUGACAGAUGAAAUCCAUGUUUUCUUACGGUUGGGCAAACAUGGAUAUCAGCUUAGGGGUAUGGAUUAGCUAGGGUUAGCUGAGUGGGCCGUGGUGACCCUGGGUCAAAGGCUGUGUCUAGAGGGGGUGGAGGCAGCUUCCACGAGAACUUAGGUUGACCUCAGGUGCUUGCUUUCUAGUUGGAUGUGGUCCUGAGGGAAGGUUCUUCUUGUUGGUACUUUAGACUGGCUUGAGCAGACCUCCAUCCACACUGGUGAGCACCUUUAUUCUUAAAUCACCAGGUCGUCCAGACUCAAGUUCUCAGCUUCUGUU
rnacentral:lncRNA from 1 species